rnacentral:misc_RNA from 1 species
GAAUAUAUCAAUCACUAAAAAUGUGACCAGCAAUUGCCUUGAGACACUGUACAUGGAGUAGGAUUUUCUGCUGGUGAGUGAUGAUAACUCUUCAAAGAAUAUAAGCUCUUUUUCUGCAUGGAGGGCCCUCUCACUACCUAAUAUCCAUUUUUCAAUCAGAAACCUUCACUUAGAGAAAGAUUUUUCUUUUCUUUUCUUUUCUUUUCUUCGUUUUUUUUCUUUUGUCAAUAACUUCACUAGCUAAUAGGUUUGAUAUGCCAUAAAAAUUAUAGAAAGAAAAAGAAAU